rnacentral:rRNA from 1 species
UGGCUCAGGACGAACGCUGGCGGCGUGCUUAACACAUGCAAGUCGAACGGGAUCCAUCAAGCUUGCUUGGUGGUGAGAGUGGCGAACGGGUGAGUAAUGCGUGACCAACCUGCCCUGUACUCUGGAAUAGCUCCUGGAAACGGGUGGUAAUGCCGGAUGCUCCACAUGGGUGCAUGCCUGUGUGGGAAAGGGUUUACCGGUAUGGGAUGGGGUCGCGUCCUAUCAGCUUGACGGCGGGGUAAUGGCCCACCGUGGCUUUGACGGGUAGCCGGCCUGAGAGGGCGACCGGCCACAUUGGGACUGAGAUACGGCCCAGACUCCUACGGGAGGCAGCAGUGGGGAAUAUUGCACAAUGGGGGGAACCCUGAUGCAGCGACGCCGCGUGCGGGAUGACGGCCUUCGGGUUGUAAACCGCUUUUGAUUGGGAGCAAGCGUUAAGUGAGUGUACCUUUCGAAUAAGCGCCGGCUAACUACGUGCCAGCAGCCGCGGUAAUACGUAGGGCGCAAGCGUUGUCCGGAAUUAUUGGGCGUAAAGGGCUCGUAGGCGGCUCGUCGCGUCUGGUGUGAAAGUCCAUCGCUUAACGGUGGAUCUGCGCCGGGUACGGGCGGGCUGGAGUGCGGUAGGGGAGACUGGAAUUCCCGGUGUAACGGUGGAAUGUGUAGAUAUCGGGAGGAACACCAAUGGCGAAGGCAGGUCUCUGGGCCGUUACUGACGCUGAGGAGCGAAAGCGUGGGGAGCGAACAGGAUUAGAUACCCUGGUAGUCCACGCCGUAAACGGUGGACGCUGGAUGUGGGGCCCAUUCCACGGGUUCCGUGUCGGAGCUAACGCGUUAAGCGUCCCGCCUGGGGAGUACGGCCGCAAGGCUAAAACUCAAAGAAAUUGACGGGGGCCCGCACAAGCGGCGGAGCAUGCGGAUUAAUUCGAUGCAACGCGAAGAACCUUACCUGGGCUUGACAUGUUCCCGGCGACAUCAGAGAUGGUGUUUCCCUUCGGGGCGGGUUCACAGGUGGUGCAUGGUCGUCGUCAGCUCGUGUCGUGAGAUGUUGGGUUAAGUCCCGCAACGAGCGCAACCCUCGCCCCGUGUUGCCAGCACGUCAUGGUGGGAACUCACGGGGGACCGCCGGGGUUAACUCGGAGGA